rnacentral:lncRNA from 1 species
CUCUGGGUGUGCUUUACGGACAAGUGCACAGCAAUGAUGCACAGAGCAUAGCAACCACCCUGGGAGGGCCUAUGGACCAUAACAACCAGUUGGCCAAUCAACACAGGGCAAACCCUCCAAGCCUGGAGGCACACCAAUCCUGAGCCUGUGCAUACCUCUAGACACUCCCCUUAUGCUGCCCUAUAAGAUCUCUAUGCAGUGGCUUCGAAGCGUCUUUUCUAGCCAUCCUUCAUGGUGGAUGAAUGAAAGGCCCGAGCUAACAUGGGGUUAGCUCGUUAAACAAUUGCAAUAAAGCCUCGUGCUUUUUGCAUCAAGUUUCUGCCUCUGCAUGGUGAUUGGGGUGGCCGCGGUCAUGGGCUGAGAUCCUGGGGGCCUGAGCCUCUGGAGGUCUUUCAUUUGGGGGCUCGUCCUAGAUUUGAGACCACCCGUCACCUGAGUGGAGUCGAUCUUGGAGGAGUUCCUCUGCCAUGUGCUAUGGGUUAGAGUGUGCUGCGGUGGAGUCCCCUGAGGCUGCUGCUCUGAACUCCAACCACUGCUGGGCCCUCACAGCUGAGCCUGGCUGGUGCAGUUUAUAAUAUCAGACAGACUGCCAGAUCCUGACAGGGACCCAAAGUCUCCAAAGAAGAUUAUGAGGCACCCCAGUUCCUGCACCUGGAUGAUGACGACAAUGACCAGUGAGCGAGAUGCUCAGAUGUGACACCUGCUGCCUGCCAGGACCUGGCCGAAACUGUGGACAAAACUGCUGGACACUGGAAAAUUGAUUGUACCCCUUUGCCUAGACAAAACAAGACACAUCUGAGUAUCGGUUGCUGACUACAGGCUGUUUCUAAGCAGACUGCGGGCCCUGGACUUGCUGUGGAUGUGAACCAGUCCAGCUGAUAUGGACACCCCCUGUCUCUGCAACAGAGUCUGCCAACCAGAAGCUCCUGAUGAUUCCCCAUUGCCUAAAUUCCCUUUUUUGCUUUUGACUAGCAUUUCAGCCUUCUUUGGUCCCUAACUUCGUCCCAAAGUCAGCAGGAAGUAGCAUGGGAAAGAAUACAUCACCCAUUUUCCAGGGUUGAAAUGCUAAGUCAGAAGGAACUCCCUUCAUAAGGGAUGCUAAUAUCUCUCACUCCCUGAUGGGGAUGCUGGAGAGACAGCAAUUCCAUGAUUGGAGUCUCCAAAAAAGAAAAAAUGGGGGAAUGAAGGGACCAGCUCCCCAUUUCGGCAGCCAUAACAGCCAAACACAUACUUGCCUGACCUUGUCUUGGUCACUAGGAGAUCAGAUGCCUGCCUCGUGGCAAGGAACCAAUCAGAAGUUAGCUGGCGGCGCUAUGCUUUACAGCUCUGGGUGUGCUUUACAGACAAGUGCACAGCAAUGACGUGCAGAGCAUAGCAACCACCCUGGGAGGGCCUAUGGACCAUAACAACCAGUUGACCAAUCAACACAGGGCAAACCCUCCAAGCCUGGAGGCACAACAAUCCUGAGCCUGUGCAUACCCCUAGACACUCCCUAAUGCUGCCCUAUAAGAGCUCUAUGCAGAUGCUUUGAGCUGUCUUUCCUAGCCAUUCCUAGCCAUCCGCCAUGGUGGAUGGAUGAAAGGCCUGAGCUAACAUGGGGUUAGCUCGUUAAACAACUGUAAUAAAGCCUCUUGCUGUUUGCAUCAAGUUUCUGCCUCUGAAUGGUGAUUGGGAUGGCCUCGGUCCUGGGCUGAGAUCCUGGGGGCCUGAGCCUCUGGGGGUCUUUCAUUAGUCAGGUUUUUGUUAUCCCUUCACUUGGGGUUCACUUCCCUGUAUGACAUCUGCAGGGAUUCCCCUCAUUGAACCAAUCCAUUUCUGUCUCUCCUUAGAAAAUGAACAGGUUUCUAAGGAAAAGUAAUAAGAUAAAACAAAACCAAAAAUAUGUUGGGGAAUAUUAGAUCACACUGUGAAGCUCGAGUUUGCAUUGAUUGAAUAAAAUUAACCUUGGG